UACGAAGGGGGAUAGCGUUGUUCGGAAUUACUGGGCGUAAAGCGCACGUAGGCGGAUUUGUUAGUCAGGGGUGGAAUCCCGGGGCUCAACCUCGGAACUGCCUUUGAUACUGCAAGUCUCGAGUCCGAGAGAGGUGAGUGGAAUUCCUAGUGGAGAGGUGAAAUUCGUAGAUAUUAGGAAGAACACCAGUGGCGAAGGCGGCUCACUGGUCCGGUUCUGACGCUGAGGUGCGAAAGUGUGGGAAGCAAACAGG
rnacentral:rRNA from 1 species